UACGUAGGGUGCAAGCGUUGUCCGGAAUUAUUGGGCGUAAAGAGCUCGUAGGCGGUUUGUCGCGUCUGCUGUGAAAACUCGGGGCUUAACCCUGGGCCUGCAGUGGGUACGGGCAGACUAGAGUGCGGUAGGGGAGACUGGAAUUCCUGGUGUAGCGGUGAAAUGCGCAGAUAUCAGGAGGAACACCGGUGGCGAAGGCGGCUCUCUGGACCGAUACUGACGCUGAGGCGCGAAAGCGUGGGGAGCAAACAGG
rnacentral:rRNA from 1 species